rnacentral:rRNA from 1 species
CCUACGGGGGGCAGCAGUGGGGAAUAUUGGACAAUGGGGGCAACCCUGAUCCAGCCAUGCCGCGUGUGUGAAGAAGGCCUUAGGGUUGUAAAGCACUUUCAGUGGGGAGAAAGGUUUGUCACCUAAUACGUGAUGAAAUUGAUGUUACCCACAGAAGAAGCACCGGCUAACUCCGUGCCAGCAGCCGCGGUAAUACGGAGGGUGCAAGCGUUAAUCGGAAUUACUGGGCGUAAAGCGUACGUAGGUGGUUUGCUAAGCCAGCUGUGAAAUCCCCGGGCUCAACCUGGGCACUGCAGUUGGAACUGGUAAGCUAGAGUAGGGUAGAGGGGUGUGGAAUUCCAGGUGUAGCGGUGAAAUGCGUAGAUAUCUGGAGGAACAUCAGUGGCGAAGGCGACACCCUGGACUCAUACUGACACUGAGGUACGAAAGCGUGGGGAGCAAACAGGAUUAGAUACCCCAGUAGUC